AUGUAGGGCAAUCUUUAAAUAGGGAUAAAUUACUCUAAAAGAAAUGAAUCCUAGAUAGUUCUCCCUUCAAGUCAACUUAA
rnacentral:pre_miRNA from 1 species